CCUACAUACCACGAUUGGUGACCUAACAAAGGACUGUAACUAGGCAACACAUAAAGGAGAAGAUCACUCGUCUUGCAGCUUCAGUGUGAAUGGGGAGCAGAGAAGAAACCCUCUGAGCGCAGAGGAAUCCCAGGGCAGAGUGCAGGUCUGUAUGGGUAAAACAAUGAAGUGUUGAGAAAACAGCAGUCUUAAAGCUCGUGUCGGGCUGGACAGGAGUCUGCGGAGCGAUAUCUUUAACCUGCAGCUUUUGCCUCUCUUCCUGUGUAUUCCAGGUGCCCAAGUUCUGAUCAAGAUCUCAAAGUCUGGUCUCAGUCUGCCAAUAACUUUUGGCCCUGAGUGACGGCAAUGCAGAGUGGAAUGGAUCACAAGCAAAAAGCUGGUAAUUUGGCCAACAAAAGCUGCUGCUCGAGAACGUUUGAGAAGCACGAUCUCAGAUCGAUGUGCCUUGCGAGGCCGGCUCAGCAGACAACUUUCACUGGUACUAUUUUAAAACUCUUUAGUAGAGUUUGUGCUAUUCCAUGUAGCAUGUCAAAGAUAAAUUAUGUACAUUUCCCAGACUGCAACGUUUUCAGAUACCGGUGGUUUUAAGAGAAGGGUUAUGGCCAACCUGAGUUCAAACAGAAGAUGGUGUAGCAUGUGCACGUCUUGAGACAUGACAGCUUUGUAGGGUACAAUAAAUGUCUGACUUCACAGAUUCGUGGUAAUUCAAACUGUAAAUCCAUUAUUCUAGCACGCUGGGGUGAAAAAGUAGCUGUACACCCCACUCACCAAGAUUACGGCACUAUGCAAAGUAUUAUUUAUAUACAGUCUUGCGUAGAUCCCUUUGGGGUCUGAAAUCCAUGUCUAAAAGAUA